rnacentral:rRNA from 1 species
ACGCUCGACACCACGGGAGCAGCAGUGGGGAAUAUUGCACAAUGGGGGAAACCCUGAUGCAGCGACGCCGCGUGGAGGAAGAAGGUCUUCGGAUUGUAAACUCCUGUUGUUGGGGAAAAAGAGGAUGGUACCCAACAAGGAAGUGACGGCUAACUACGUGCUAGCAGCCGCGGUAGUCUGAGCGGGCUGGCAAGGC